GCUGGGCGUGGUGGCUCACGCCUGUAAUCCCAGCACUUUGGGAGGCCGAGGUGGGUGGAUCACUUGAGGUCAGGAGUUCAAGACCAGCCUGGCCAACAUGGUGAAACCCCGUCUCUA
ensembl:misc_RNA Metazoa_SRP Metazoan signal recognition particle RNA